AUUGAACGCUGGCGGCAUGCCUUACACAUGCAAGUCGAACGGUAACAGGUCUUCGGAUGCUGACGAGUGGCGAACGGGUGAGUAAUACAUCGGAACGUGCCCGAUCGUGGGGGAUAACGGAGCGAAAGAAGUGCUAAUACCGCAUACGUCCUGAGGGAGAAAGCGGGGGAUCUUCGGACCUCGCGCGAUUGGAGUGGCCGAUGUCAGAUUAGCUAGUUGGUGGGGUAAAGGCCUACCAAGGCAACGAUCUGUAGCUGGUCUGAGAUGAUGAUCAGCCACACUGGGACUGAGACACGGCCCAGACUCCUACGGGAGUCAGCAGUGGGGAAUUUUGGACAAUGGGGGCAACCCUGAUCCAGCCAUUCCGCGUGAGUGAAGAAGGCCUUCGGGUUGUAAAGCUCUUUCGGCAGGAACGAAACGGCGAGCUCUAACAUAGCUUGCUAAUGACGGUACCUGAAGAAGAAGCACCGGCUAACUACGUGCCAGCCGCCGCGGUAAUAC
rnacentral:rRNA from 1 species